CGUAAGGGGGAGGGGCCGGCAGACAGGAUUUGAAGUUCAAGUGCAUGUGGAGAAAAUGACCCAGAAGACGGCAAGAAGCGGGCUGGGAAAACCAGAGCGGAUAUACGUUCCUCUUUCCUUUUUCCAAAGGUAGAACUAUUCGCCCCGGAGUUCAGAAGGUGGGAUUGAACAAAACGAGCAAAGAAAAUCCAACGCUAGGAGACGAGAGCAAAGGCAAGAAAAUGUAUUCCGGCCCCCUCCCCUGAACGCUCCUCUACGGCUCACUCCUCCUCCUGUGACCCCCCUAGCCUUCUUUCUCUAUCUGUCGUUCCCUUUCCCCUCCCAUCUCCUCAUGCGGUCGCUGGCGUACACAUGCGCCUUCACCGCCUCCCUCUCUCUUUCUCUCUCCGUCCCUCUCCCGCGGCUGCAGAUCUCCUCGGCUUUCCUCUGGCAGAUUCGGACGGAGAAACAUGCGCAGCCACUCUGUGGUUCCCCCCUUUCUCGUGCCUCCCUUAAGAAAACCCUGGCCCCUUUCCUACUUGCCUCAGCGCCCGGUUACCAUCCGCUCUCCGCUGACCUUUUUAGAGCAGUUUCGUUUAACGUUGGGGAAUUUUUGUUGACUGUUUUUCCGGCCCCAUCCCAAAAUCUCAGCAGUUCAAAGUGUCAAAGGAGGGCGGAAAGCAGUCCGGGGCGCUGAGCGAACAGUAGGAAAUGGGCUGAUGGGAUGGGUUAAAAAAAAUUAAAUAGAAAAACGUGGUUUGGGAAGAAACGCUGAGAAGGGAGAAGUGACUGCUGCUGGGAUAGCAGACUGGAGACCCGGAGGAAUGAGAGACGAACGACUGAUGAGAUCAGCGAAAUCGCGGGAAAUGGAGAAGAAGACUCGACUGAUUGGAAGUCUUGUUUUAAUGGAAGAAGCUGUGAUUAAUGAAUGCUUCGGAGUUGUCGCCACUAGUCCAUCCAUAAGACUGAAACGAUGAAAGGAAUUUCCGCAUGCACGGUCGCAGCCUCAACAGAUGUGAGAAGAAACAGAAACAGGUCGGACGUGAUGCUGUGAUUUAGCCGUAUAUUUUCUUUUGUGUUAAAUCUAACAGGAGGUAAGUAGGAUGGUAGAGCGAUUGCUUUCUCAUCCCGGAUCAAUAACGGGGUCGGUCGUUUUGCAAGCAUUGACACUACGACCGUGAAUCAGCAAUACCUUGGUGUCGCAUGGUGUAUGACAUUGUUACACAUAAAACAUUUUACGGAUUAUGUUUCAAUUGUGGUUAUUGAAAGGCACUGAUAGUACAAAUAAUUGCCAAUGCCGUACACAUCUGUAGUCACUAUAGUAUUUGACUAAAUGUGUCUGUUAAGAAAAGUCAUUAAAUUAUGGGACUUAUUUUGGAUUUCACAGACAGGGAAUGUGCUUUACGGAUAACACAUCAGUGUAUUGAUUUCAUAAACAAUUUUUGCAUGCUAUCUUAAUUAUUUCUGUAUGUGUAUUAGUAAUUGCACAAUAAAAAAUCUUCUUGGUCAAAUUAAAUAAAAUGCAGAUUUUUGUUAAAUCAUUGAUGUAUUCAAACCCAACUUGACCUGGAAUCAGCCUUGAUUCAUCUGAA